rnacentral:lncRNA from 1 species
GGGCAAUGGCGGGCGCCACUCCCCCAGCCUCGCUGCCGCCUUGCAAUUUGAUCUCAGACUGCUGUGCUAGCAAUCAGCGAGACUCCGUGGGCGUAGGACCCUCCGACCCAGGUCAAUUUUUUUUACUAAUUCCGGGGAGGUCAUCAAUGAUUUUGGGAUAACCUGCAUCCACGGACUGCAUAUUUUCAUCAUACCUGGUAACAAAAAAUAACUAAAAAUAUCACAUUGUGGUUAAUAUAAAAACAAUAAAAAACACUUAACUUUCAUGUAGAACUUUCCAUGUACUAAUCACUGUCCUAAGUGCUUUUCAUAUGAAGAUUCAUUUAAUUCUCACAACAAAUCUGAGAGGUAGGUACUGUCUGUGCCUCAAUUUUGCAAAACCCCGAUGGCUGCUUUUAAAAAUUAUGGGUGGGUACAUUGUUGGCAUGAAACUAUUAAGAAAUUUUAACUGGGAGGGAGAGUGGGGCAAACUAGACAAACUCUAAGUUAUUCUCAACCAUAAAAAUCUGAUUCAAAUUUUCCCUUGGGCUCCAUGUUCUGUCCUAUCAAGGAGAAAUGCUUC